UAAAAAAAUUAUUAAAAGAUAAUACAUCAGGUUUGGUGCAAAUGUGAGGGAAAGGUGAACACACGACAUAGAAGUUGGAGAGAGAGAGAGGAGAGGACAAUCAAACUUCAAGAGCAAUGACUCACCAAUGCAAGAUUGAAAUCAAUCAAGUUGAGGUAUUGUUACAAGAGAACAAGGACGGCUACAGAGAGAGAUUAAAGGAAGAUGAUUACCUCAGGUCUAUCAUGCUGAACAUGUUGCAAAACAAGACAAACAGCACUCUUACUCUUAAAUGAACCUUCAUACUUUAUCACAAAGUUUCUCCCCCUGUCAUUAAGAAUAAUAAGCAAAUCAUUACCACUGCCAAAAUAAAAUUUCAGAAGACUUGGGAUAUGUUAAGAAUUAAAAAUAUUGUUUACCCCAA